GAGAUUAUACUUUCAGGGAUCAAUUCUAUAGUUUGUUACUAGGGAAGUUUCUCUGAAUGCGUUCAGACCUGCAGAAGAGCAGCAGAACCCAUGAGGAGAAGGCGCAGGAUGAUCCUGAGCGUGAAGCUGGCUCGUGGAGUUGCUUUGCUGCUACUGUCACUUGCCGCUGAUGAUCGUUCUUCUCUUCCUUUGGGAGAGGAAGAGGGGGAGAAAGCAGUUGGAGUGGU
ensembl:snoRNA U3 Small nucleolar RNA U3